rnacentral:tRNA from 1 species
GAAAUAUUGCGUAAAGUGAAAGCUGCUAACUUAAUUACUUUAAUGGUUAAACUCCAUUUAUAUUUCU